rnacentral:tRNA from 1 species
GGGGACCUAGCUCAGUUGGUAGAGUGCUUGCCUUGCAUGCACAAGGCCCUGGGUUCAAUCCCCAGCCCCC